rnacentral:rRNA from 1 species
UACGAAGGAUUCGAGCGUUGUCCGGAUUUAUUGGGUUUAAAGGGUGCGUAGGUGGACUAAUAAGUCAGUGGUGAAAGCCCGCAGCUUAACUGCGGAACUGCCAUUGAUACUGUUAGUCUUGAGUACAGUUGAGGUGGGCGGAAUGUGUCAUGUAGCGGUGAAAUGCUUAGAUAUGACACAGAACACCGAUUGCGAAGGCAGCUCACUAAGCUGUAACUGACACUGAGGCACGAAAGUGUGGGUAGCAAACAGG